AUGUGCUGCCGGCCCGCUUUUCCUAUCAGUUAAAUAUAAGCCACAACAGUUAUUUAAAAAUUCAACCCCUUAAUAUUUUAUUAAUUUGACCAAUAAAAAAAUAAAAAAUAAAAAAUAAAAACCACCGGUUCUACCAAUUUCUAGAACCAUUGCUUCUUCUCUCCCUUCCUUUCUCCCUUUCUCUUUCCUUUCCUUGCCUCGUCCUUUUUCGCCUUCUUCCUUAUGAUCUCUCGAUCUCUUUCUCCCUGAUUCUCCAUCACAGACGCCAGAGCGCCGCGCCAAACGAGUUCCAAAUACGGUCUUGCCAGACGACAACCCAUUCGUCACCAACUCCGGCUUCGAGACCCAUCCUCGCAUAAUUUCAUCCCAGACCCGUGUAGCUGCAUGCCCGUCAUCGCUUCUACAAUCACCCCACGGUAGCAAACAUGCAGAAGGAGAGAGAAAACAUUGAAUUUAUAACUUUUAAUGUUUAGCGGUUCUAAUAGCAUGGUUCCGUAUCGACGACGACAUGUGGCACUCCCAGUCCUAGUGGCUUAUAUUGAUGGUAUAAUUACUAUCUUGUUCACUGUACUUGUCUUUUGCUCUGUAUCACGUGUGAAAUGGGUCUAUACCCACUCACCGCGUAGUUGUGUAUAUAGGAACUUUUAAGUUUAAAUUUAUUCACACUUUACACAUUA